rnacentral:RNase_MRP_RNA from 12 species
CGAGUUUUUCAUGCUUGUCUCUCGGGGCUACAAACGAGUUCCUGGUAACUCUAUGCAUCGUGCCCUGGGUAAAGUCCCCGGGUCUAGGAUAGAAAGUAUCAAGGUGUAAAAUGUGCGUUUUUGUGCGCAUUCGCCUAUAUUUCGCGGAAUCUCGCCAGGCGUAGUGAUGAAGAAGGAUUCGAAAGGAUCCUGAAUCCUUGCCGUCCGGUUGUCUGCGGAAAUCUGCCAGAGUUCUUCACCUCAGAUAUGGACGAGUUGGUAGGACCUUUCCCCUCUAACUCCUCGGAGUGGGGGGAAGGAUACCGCCUACACGGAAUGGGGCUUACAUUGAGAAAUUU